CAGCCGCCGCGGUAAUACGUAGGGUGCAAGCGUUAAUCGGAAUUACUAGGCGUAAAGCGUGCGCAGGCGGUUUGUUAAGACAGAUGUGAAAUCCCCGGGCUCAACCUGGGAACUGCAUUUGUGACUGGCAAGCUAGAGUGUGGCAGAGGGGGGUGGAAUUCCGCGUGUAGCAGUGAAAUGCGUAGAUAUGCGGAGGAACACCGAUGGCGAAGGCAGCCCCCUGGGCCAACACUGACGCUCAUGCACGAAAGCGUGGGGAGCAAACAGGAUUAGAUACCCCGGUAGUCCCUGUCUCUUAUAC
rnacentral:rRNA from 1 species